AUAGUGAUUUUUUAAAAAUUAUUACUGUAGGAAAUAGUGAUGUAGUUAUAAAAUAAUUUUCAAAAUAGAAAAUACUGUUUUGUGAUCUUUUCUCAUGUAUUUUGUACAUAUCUUUAAGAUUAAAAUAGUUGUCUGUCUGAACUAUUUGAAACUUGUUUUUCACCUUCCUAUUUAUUCACUGAUUCAAAUUUAAUGCACUACUCAAUUUAUUUCGAUAUCUUUGGUAACUAUGAACAGGUCCAGUCAGGCAUUUGAGUGAGUAUGAUAGUGUCAGGGGUAGGGUCAUAGAGGAAGAGUACAGCCAGUGUCAAGUAAAUUAUUCUACGGAAGGAUUCUUUGGCGCUUCAGAGAAACGGCUUCACACCAGUAAACCUAGGACUUAGAUCCUCGAACGAGAUAGAUGAUAGAUUCAUUCAUCAUCAGGCUUUUCAAAACUGCGGACUGCAAAAAGAAGGCUCGGUGAAAAUAACCUCGGUACCUGACGCAUAGACUUCUUACCACAGAGCAGAAAAUGGCCAGAAAUCAAUUUCCUACAGGAGCGUGUGAGUAUGAUAGAUUCAUGGACAUUGGAAGAUUGGGCACAAGUUCUCUUUAUAGAUGAGGCGAGAGUUGGCCUCAGAUCUUCAGAUGGAGAUUAAUUUCUUAUGGAUACGCUCAGUAGAAAGGUACACUAUGGUUUCUCAGGUGGCAUUCCACAGUGGAUCGUUGAUAUUGGCAUUUCCUUAGACCCUCUCUCCAAACUAGUUGUGCGAGGAAGAUUUUUUUAAACGUUACUCAAUAAUUUGUUCAUUGCUUCAGUUGAGAGCAACACAUUUCAGCAUUGAUGUUUCACCAGGAUUCAAGAAGCUGUAGUAAAGCGCUCAAAUGAAGCCCACCCGUCACAAUCACCUUUUUUGAUGGGUUUGGAAAAUGUGGUACUUACUUGGUAACGUUGUGCAAACUUCAUAAUGAUUUUUUUUAUGGUGCGUUCAAUGCAUGGGGAACCCAUCUUUCAAGCUUUUUCACCAUUCAAAUUGCCUUAAGGUAGUCAGCGAUGGUCGAUUUGCUAACUGAAAGAUUAUCUGCAAGUUCUUAAGCAGUUGUUCUGGGAUUUUCUUCGACCAAAGCUCACAGAACAUCAUCAUAUAGGAAGGAAAUCUUACCAAGACCAUCUUUGUCUUGGCUAAUCGACCCACAGAAAUUUUUUACACCAUCAAUGAAAAGUGCUUUCACUGACACUGCCAUUGCCCUAGACUUCAUUAAUUGGCCACUUGGGCACCGUUAUGACCGAGUUUAAACUCGUAAAACGAAAUUAUGCAAAAAUCAAGGGUUGACAUCUUAGUAAAGACU